rnacentral:rRNA from 1 species
GGACUACAGGGGUAUCUAAUCCUGUUUGAUCCCCGCACUUUCGUGCCUCAGCGUCAGUUACAGUUUAGUAAGCUGCCUUCGCAAUCGGUGUUCUUGACAAUAUCUAUGCAUUUCACCGCUACACUGUCAAUUCCGCCUACCUCAUAUGUACUCAAGCCAUUCAGUAUCAAUGGCAGUUCGAUCGUUAAGCGAUCGGCUUUCACCACUGACUUAAAUAGCCGCCUACGCACCCUUUAAACCCAAUAAAUCCGGACAACGCUUGCCACCUACGUAUUACCGCGGCUGCUGGCAC